rnacentral:rRNA from 1 species
ACUCAAAGGAAUUGACGGGGGCCCGCACAAGCAGCGGAGCGUGUGGUUUAAUUCGACGCAACACGCAGGACCUUACCCAGACUGGACAUGCACCUGCACGCCGCUGAAAGGCGGUCGCCUUCGAGGGUGGUGCACAGAUGCUGCAUGGCUGUCGUCAGCUCGUGUCGUGAGAUGUUGGGUUCAGUCCCGCAACGAGCGCAACCCCUGUGGCCAGUUAUUCGUGUCUGGCCAGACGGCCCUUCGGGGAGGAAGGCGGGGAUGACGUCAAGUCCGCAUGGCUCUUACGUCUGGGGCUACACACACGCUACAAUGGCCGUCGCAAUGCGUUGCUACUUCGCAAGGAGACGCUAAUCGCCAAGGACGGUCUCAGUGCAGAUCGGGGGCUGCAACUCGCCCCCGUGAAGGCGGAGUUGCUAGUAACCGCGUAUCAGCGAUGGCGCGGUGAAUACGUACCCGGGCCUUGCACACACCGCCCGU